UUCUAGAAUUUUCCAUGACAACACUAUAUAUACAGACACUAAAGUUAAACUCUCAUAAUUAAACUUGGACAUAGACAUUGAUAGACAUUAGUAUUCACAGCAUUUGGAUUGACACUUUUAUUCUACAAACAACAUCAUACUGGAUUGUGACAUUAGUAGUGAACAUAAUAUUCAAAUUGGAUUCCGAAAGAUUUCCGGAUACAGAAAAAGAUAACUGAUUGGAC
rnacentral:lncRNA from 1 species